rnacentral:lncRNA from 1 species
GUGGAAUGAGAGCUCUCCAGUCUCUGGGCAAAAAAAUAGCAGGGAUUUUUGUGAGUGGUCCUGCUGAGAACAAUGUCACUGGAGCGCAUGUGCACGAGACGACUCCAUUUUUUUCUUUCAGUGUUUGAACGAAUACAACGUCGCCCGGUUGGAAUGUUAUCGCUAUUUUACGAGAAAAAUUGCAUAAAAAUGUAUUUUAAACAGCGUUUGACAUGCUUCGAAGUACGGUAAUGGAAUAUUUCGAAUUUUUUUGUCACAAAAUGCACCCUUCGGAUAGUGACUUGAACGCACGAACAAAACGGAGCUAUUUGGAUAUAACUAUGGAUUAUUUCGAACCUAAACAACACUUGUUGUUGAAGUAGAAGUCCUGGGAGUGCAUUCUGACGAAGAACAGCAAAGGCUCUCAGAAGGCGCCAGAACGUUGAAUGAUGACUUUGCAGGCCAUGGCUGAAAAACAGUAGCGCAUUUGCGUCGGAUGUUCUACAGGAGAGGUUUGCGGUAGAGAUGAAGUGUAACACUGCACUGCGUCUGGCUGCCCUGCACAGGCACGAGAGACUGAACAGUAUAGGCUCCACCCGGACCUCUAUCAAGAGCAUUGCGUGAGAGACGCACGCACGCGCUCUGGAUUACUGACCUCUGCUUGCCCUUGACCUGUCGUUUGCCUGCUCCCCUGUUUUUGUAAUAAACUUUUGUUACUUCUAAACUGUCUGCAUCUGAGUCUUCUCCUGAGCCUUGGCAGUACGAACUGGCCCCAUGUGGUGGGGUUGGUGGAGACAAGGCAGCGAAGAGUUGUCUCCAGGUCUUGAUUGGCUCGCUCCGACUGACUGUUGGACUGAGGGUGGAACCCGGAGGACAGGCUGGCCGAUGACCCAAUAAGUGUGCAGAACGCCUUACAGAAC